rnacentral:tRNA from 3 species
GCCGCAGUGGCCCAAUGGUAAGGCGCAAGCCUGGAAAGCUUGUUUCCGCAAGGAUAUUCAGGUUCGAUUCCUGGCUGCGGCG